UUUUUUUCUUAAGACUUAGUUUGUCAAAUGCCGUGAUGGAGGAAGCUACAGCUUCAUUUUCCUCUGGUUGUGACCAGAAUAGGGAGAAAUGAUUUUAUUUGUCCUUUGCAAGCUAAAUAUGAAUUGCGCGGUAUUUAGUUUUUUCAUGAAAACGGAACUCGGUAUAUCUCAUUAAGAGCUGAUGAUGUUACCGUGAACAAAAUGGCUUUAAUAUCGCUAGUUAAUAGCUAAUAUCCGACGUUUGGAGCAUUUUCUCUCUCAUUUAAAGACUCACCUGCAUUUAAUGCUUACGGCUCAUUAAGACAGUAGCGAGAGAUGCGAGUUAGAAUAACUUACUUUGUUACGCUGUGAUAAACACUGACUGACAACAUGCUAGCUAAUGCUAAGUUGGUCGUUAAACAGUGUAAAUACAAAUUCUGAUUGGACAGCGCCUUCAGGGAGUGGGCGGGGCUUAUCUGUCUGGUUUAACGCCUGGAUGAUGUGAUGAAGCAGCAGCAGGAGGAGGAGAAGAAGAAGUUCUUGUUCUGCAGUUCAGUCGGGGAUGAGAUGAUGACCUCAGUGUAGCUGGAGGACCGGUUCCGGUUUGGUGGAAAUGUCUCUCUGGGCGGUGAAAUGGACACUUUGUCUACUCGGCAUGGUGACCAGGAACGCCGCUUCACCUGGCCUGGAUUUUGGAGGCGAGUCCGGAUCCGGGAUGCUGCCGACAGGCCACUGGUCCAGUGAAGCUCAGAUGAGGAAUGAAUGGGGCAACACAUCAGAACAGCCAGAGACCUCAUCACCUUCAAUACUGGAGAAGAAAAACUCCCCACCUGAGCAUCAGCACCUUCACCUGUUGUUACUGUCACAUAUAAGAAGACCACUAUACAAGCCACCAAUACCAACAUGUGUGUGUGUUCUAACCCUCCUUGAAGACAUUAAGGAGACUCAGAGGGUUCACAGUCGAAUGCUACAGUCUCUCCUGAAACAACGUGAAGGACCAGUCGCUGAGGUUUUACCUGAGGUUUUGUUUUCCCUCUCUGGACUGGCACUGAUGGUAUUAAACCCGUUUCUACACAUCUGGUUUCCACACGUUUAUUGUCUGGGCCUAAUUUGGGGCAAAUCUCUAUGGUGUCAUUCUCAGAUGUUAAAAGUUGUUUCUGGUUCUCAACAGUUUAAAACAGAAGUAAAUAAAUUGUUGUUUUGUGUACAUA